rnacentral:lncRNA from 1 species
AAAUUAACAAAAUUAAAUUAUAAAUCAAAUUAUUUAAAAUGAUAAACAUUUUUUAGAUAUAAAUACAGAUCUCGAUCAAGAAGUCCUGAUCAAAGACGACGAGAUAAUCAUACUCGAUCUCGUGAUACAAAAUAUCGUAGACAGUCUAGAAGUAGAUCUCCAGAUAUUAGCAGUGAUAGAAGAAAAGGGAGUAGCAGAGAUCGUGAUAAAAGAAAACAUGAAGGAAGAGGCAGAGACAGUCCAGAAAAUGGAGAAAAUAGUCCAGAACUAUCUGAUGUAGAUUAUAAAGAGAAGACAGGUAAAGGUGAAAAUUAUGUAAAUAGGACUUCUAAAGAUGGAUCAGAAGGUGAAUCAGAUUAGUGACAUCUAAUUUGUGUCUAAAAGAUAUUCAGGUAAGUGGGAAAAUAUUGAUAUAAGAUUUUCUUCCAUCAUCAAUAUCUAUUCCUUUCAGGUGAGUGAUAUUGCUGAGCAUUUUGUUCCACUUCACUUAGGAACCUUUGUACCAGGUAUUAGAUUUAAUUGGUUUAUAGACAUUUGCAGGAAUUUGAUAUUCUUGGGAUAAAUUCUUUUUAAAUAUUAAAUUACUUCAAUUCAUUUGAAAGAAUUGAUUUUCCUGCAUGUAAUUGAUAAAUUGUUAAUGGUACAAAAGUUAAAAUAUAAUCAGUUAAUUUAUGUUGAAUAAUUUAAAAAUAAUUUCCCUAUUGUAUAGAUUGUACUUUUUUCUUUUUUUAAUAUAGAAUAUAUUCCAUGGUAUAGAUAUUUAUUAAAGGCAAAUUAUUAGUCAAAAAAUGAUGACAUUUUAAACCCCAGCACUUGAGUGUGCUUAAAUUUGCUUCUAUAUUGACAUUGAUCUCUAACUUUCCUGCUAUGUCUAGCUCAUAACCACAGAUUUUACUUUGAUCUUGGUGUUCCGAAGAUGCUACAGUUGUUUUACAGUCCUAGCAAUGAUUACCUGGAGUCCCUUUUUUCACAGGUGACCCUAUGUUUUGUAGGAUUAUACUCUUUAAUUGGUGCUGGGAGGGGACAACUGGUAUUUUUUAAAUAUAGAUCAUUAGUGUUUAAUAUAACAGUUUUUAAUAAGAUAGAAUGUUUGUGUUCCAGUGGUCUAAUCAUCAUUCUCAUCUAUUCACAACCAAAUAAUAUCAUUUUCUCAUUUACUUGAUUGAAUGGAUGAUGAUAUAUUGAUUGCUUUGAUUGGGUUUGAAAGAUGACAAAAAAAUUAAAU